GACGAACGCUGGCGGCGUGCUUAACACAUGCAAGUCGAACGGAAAGGCCCUGCUUUUGUGGGGUGCUCGAGUGGCGAACGGGUGAGUAACACGUGAGUAACCUGCCCUUGACUUUGGGAUAACUUCAGGAAACUGGGGCUAAUACCGGAUAGGAGCUCCUGCUGCAUGGUGGGGGUUGGAAAGUUUCGGCGGUUGGGGAUGGACUCGCGGCUUAUCAGCUUGUUGGUGGGGUAGUGGCUUACCAAGGCUUUGACGGGUAGCCGGCCUGAGAGGGUGACCGGCCACAUUGGGACUGAGAGACGGCCCAGAGUCCUCCGGGAGGCAGCAGUGGGGAAUAUUGCACAAUGGGCGGAAGCGUGAUGCAGCAACGCCGCGUGCGGGAUGACGGGCUUUGGGGUGUAAACCGCUUUCGCCUGUGACGAAGCGUGAGUGACGGUAAUGUGUAAAGAAGCACCGGCUAACUACGUG
rnacentral:rRNA from 1 species